GUUUGAUCAUGGCUCAGGACGAACGCUGGCGGCGUGCCUAACACAUGCAAGUCGAACGGAGUUGAAAGGAGCUUGCUUUUUUCAACUCAGUGGCGGACGGGUGAGUAACACGUGAGUAACCUGCCUUUCAGAGGGGGAUAACGUUCUGAAAAGAACGCUAAUACCGCAUAAGAUUGUAGUUUCGCAUGGGACAGCAAUCAAAGGAGCAAUCCGCUGAAAGAUGGACUCGCGUCCGAUUAGAUAGUUGGCGGGGUAACGGCCCACCAAGUCGACGAUCGGUAGCCGGACUGAGAGGUUGAUCGGCCACAUUGGGACUGAGACACGGCCCAGACUCCUACGGGAGGCAGCAGUGAGGGAUAUUGGGCAAUGGGGGAAACCCUGACCCAGCAACGCCGCGUGAGGGAUGACGGUUUUCGGAUUGUAAACCUCUGUCCUCUGUGAAGAUAGUGACGGUAGCAGAGGAGGAAGCUCCGGCUAACUACGUGCCAGCAGCCGCGGUAAUACGUAGGGAGCAAGCGUUGUCCGGAUUUACUGGGUGUAAAGGGUGCGUAGGCGGAUUGGCAAGUCAGAAGUGAAAUCCAUGGGCUUAACCCAUGAACUGCUUUUGAAACUGUUAGU
rnacentral:rRNA from 1 species